rnacentral:rRNA from 1 species
UUGGUACGGAAUAGCCUCUGGAAACGGAGAGUAAUACCGUAUGAGCUUCGGGGAAAGAUUUAUCGCCAAAGAUUGGCCCGCGUUAGAUUAGGUAGUUGGUGGGGUAAUGGCCUACCAAGCCUACGAUCUAUAGCUGGUUUUAGAGGAUGAUCAGCAACACUGGGACUGAGACACGGCCCAGACUCCUACGGGAGGCAGCAGUGGGGAAUCUUGGACAAUGGGGGCAACCCUGAUCCAGCCAUGCCGCGUGAGUGAUGAAGGCCUUAGGGUCGUAAAGCUCUUUCGCCUGUGAAGAUAAUGACGGUAGCAGGUAAAGAAACCCCGGCUAACUCCGUGCCAGCAGCCGCGGUAAUACGGAGGGGGUUAGCGUUGUUCGGAAUUACUGGGCGUAAAGCGCACGUAGGCGGACUGGAAAGUUGGGGUGUBYAAAUCCCAGGGCUCAACCCUGGAACUGCCUCCAAAACUAUCAGUCUAGAGUUCGAGAGAGGUGAGUGGAAUUCCGAGUGUAGAGGUGAAAUUCGUAGAUAUUCGGAGGAACACCAGUGGCGAAGGCGGCUCACUGGCUCGAUACUGACGCUGAGGUGCGAAAGUGUGGGGAGCAAACAGGAUUAGAUACCCUGGUAGUCCACACCGUAAACGAUGAAUGCCAGUCGUCGGGUAGCAUGCUAUUCGGUGACACACUAACGGAUUAAGCAUUCCGC